rnacentral:misc_RNA from 1 species
AAUGGUUUGUUCGUUUUUAUUUUUAUUAGAAAGUUUAAAAUAUUAUUGAGAAACAUAAUUUAUUUCUGUUUGAAGUCCAUUUGGAAUUCUACAGUCAUAAGAACUCAUGAGUUCUUCUUUGACAUUUCGCAAAAGAAGCAGAAAUUUCCUCUUCCUCUUCUUUCAGAAGCGUCACCGACUGGGAGCCCAAAAGACCAUCUGCUGUUCGCCACCUUGUUGCAAUCAUUGUUAGAGGUUCAGUCCCAUGCUCGAAGCGUCCAUUUGCGGGUCUCGAUCUAACUCUCCUUCCCUAUCUCUCCUUUGCUUGGCUCUCUCUGUCUCUCUCUUCCCUCCAGGAUGCGAGGCAAUGGAUGCAGAGGUGCUCCAUCUAGAUGGUCUCAGCCAGAUCACUUAUGUCAGCAUGUUGAUCCUGAUGAGCAAGUAGAUUAGUCAGCAUAAGAUUAGCCUAAUGUUCCUUCACCUUCCACUGCUCAGUCUAUGCCACAACCUAUUAUGUCUACAUCAUCAGCUCAGCCUCGUGAUGUAUUUCCACUUACACUACCUUUAGCCACUUUAGCUGCUAACCCUUCUUCUCAGCUAGUAGUUGGCUAGAGCUCUGGACAUGGAGGUCAAUCAAGUGGGGCAGCACCAAUUGCAUCUAUGGAUGCCCUCUCACUUACUCGCCAUGGAUCGAGGAGACAAAUCAAGAUUGUCAAUAAUUUGUUAUUUCCAUCUGAGAUAUGUGCACGGAAAAUCACAAGCAUAUUCAAGGAAAGGCUGGAUGAAGAGGGUUACUGUUGGAAGACUGUCUCACAGGAGACAAAAGACUUUUGCUGGGAAGAAUUUAAAGUAAAUUGAGUACCAAUAUUAUUUAAGUUGUCAAAAUUAGAAAAACUAAAAUUAAAUGAGACACUUGAUGUUCAUAUGUUGUGUGUUUGAAAACCUUUUAUAUUGAAUAUGUUGAACAAAGCUCUGCUGAGCAUGAGAUUGUAGUUGGGGUGGAAUUGUUUGAUGCUAAGAAAAUAUUGAAAUGUUUUUACACAGGUGUUUUUCUUGCCUUAUAUAUAGACUGGUAUGUCAAAAAUAUGGGGGAAAUUCUGUCAAAAUUUUUCCAGACAUGUUUACAUACUAAUGAAAUGUCUUAUUUUUCUUUGUAUGACUAUAGAAAUACUAUAUAUGGGAUGAGGCAAUAACAUUACUUGUAAAGGAGGCUUGGAAGCACAAGGCUGCAGAGCACUAAAGGGCACUUAUGUGUAUUGUGAGGAAAUGAAAAGAAAAGGUUGUGCACGUGCUUGAUAGUGCAAUGCGCAAAUGGAAAGAGGCAUGGAGUAGGCCAGAUUUCAAAGCUAGGAGUGAACAAUUCACUGCUAACUGCCGUAGUGAGACAGGAGGAGUUGGAGCAGGCAUUUCUCGCCAUGCAGGGGCCUCCCUAUCACACGCUUUGCAUGCAAAAAUAUUGAAAUCUCAACUUGGCCAAACACCUCUCCCCUUUGUGCUUUUUGAGGCGACCCAUACUAGGAAGGGUACCUCUAAUCUAGUUAAUGCAAGAGCAUAGUCGAUUAAGGUAAUUUAACUAUUUUAAUUGUGUUUCAAUUAUAGUUCAUGUAGUUCAUAUAUAAAUAAAGGAUUAUAUUCAAUUGCUUAGGAAAAAAAAAGGUACAUUUUUUUUUUUGGAUUAUUCAGGAUACAUUUCUGGCCCUUAAGGAGCAGUCCUCAUCUCAUCAACAAGAAGGAAGCACUGACCCUCCUACAGCGGAUGAGGCUGCACUAUACUAUCAAGCUGUAGUUGGUGAGAAGAAGUGUCGAGUGUAUGGAGUUGGAUCCUAGGCUUCUGCUUUCUACGCUCAAUCAUCUCAUGUAUCAUAUUCUGCUACUUCACAAAAUGUUCAGUCUGAUACACUAGAGACUGAGCUUCACUAACUUCGCCAAACUGUUUUGACACUCCAACAGGGAAAUCAACAAUUGAGGGAUAGUUUGGCUGCUAUGGAGCAAAGAGACCAUAUGCAUGAGCAACAAAUGCAACAAAUGCAAGAUAUGGUGUUGCAGGUGCUUCAAGGGACACAUUCUUCUUCACAAGCUUCAGAUCCUUCGUCUACUGAUGAUGCUGGUGAUCAUGCAGCUGGUGAUGGUAGUGAUGACUUGUGGAUUUUAUUUUUAUUGUUGUCUAUGUUGAGACAAACACAUUUAAAUUUGAUUGUUUAUGUGGAUUUUAUGUGCAUUGGUUGUUUUUAAUUAACACAUUCAUUCAGAUGUUAAAAUAGAUUGGUAGAUCGAUUUAUAUGCAUAAAUAGUG